AACGAACGCUGGCGGCAUGCCUAACACAUGCAAGUCGAACGAGACCUUCGGGUCUAGUGGCGCACGGGUGCGUAACGCGUGGGAACCUGCCCUUAGGUUCGGAAUAACUCCCCGAAAGGGGUGCUAAUACCGGAUAAUGUCUUCGGACCAAAGAUUUAUCGCCUUUGGAUGGGCCCGCGUUGGAUUAGCUAGUUGGUAGGGUAAAAGCCUACCAAGGCGACGAUCCAUAGCUGGUCUGAGAGGAUGAUCAGCCACACUGGGACUGAGACACGGCCCAGACACGGAGGGGAGGGCACAGGGGGAAAUAGAGAAGACUGGGUGACAGCCUGAUCGAAGAGUGGGGAGGGGGUGGAGAAGGGAUUAUGGUCUUAGCCGUCUGUAACGCGGGAGGAAACAAGCAGUACGGGGAGAAAAAGGAGCGGCCAACUCCGCGCAAGAAGACGAGGUACUAAGGGGAAUACCACAGGCAGGACC
rnacentral:rRNA from 1 species